GGAAAGGUGCUCGAGUGGUUGAAGAGGCACGCCUGGAAAGCGUGUAUACGUCAAAAGCGUAUCAGGGGUUCGAAUCCCCUUCUUUCCG
rnacentral:tRNA from 1 species